AUCGAACGCUGGCGGCGUGGAUAAGACAUGCAAGUCGAACGGGACAGACCGAGUAGCAAUAUUUGGAAUGUUCAGUGGCGAACGGGUGCGUAACACGUGGAUAACAUUCCGGAAAGCGGGGAGUAGCCCAGGGAAACUUGGAUUAAUACCGCAUGUGGCCGCAAGGCUAAAGACGGGGACCGCAAGGCCGGUCACUUUCCGAUUGGUCCGCUGCCUAUCAGCUAGUUGGCGGGGUAAUGGCCCACCAAGGCUACGACGGGUAGCUGGUCUUAGAGGACGACCAGCCACACUGAAACUGAGACACGGUCCAGACACCUACGGGUGGCAGCAGUCGAGAAUCUUUCACAAUGGGGCAACCCUGAUGGAGCGACGCCGCGUGGAGGAUAAGGUCUUCGGAUUGUAAACUCCUGUCAUGCGAGAACAAGGUACUCAGGCUAAUAACCUGAUUGUUUGAUGGUACCGCAAGAGGAAGAGACGGCUAACUCUGUGCCAGCCGCCGCCGUAAUAC
rnacentral:rRNA from 1 species